AUUUAAAAUGUAUUUAUAAAUAUUAAAGUAGUAUUAGUUAUGUUCUUGAAACUUAAAAAAUUUGGCGGUAUUUUAGUCUAUUCAGAGGAACCUGUUCUAUAAUCGAUAAUCCACGAUGGACCUUACUUAAAUUUGUAAAUCAGUUUAUAUACCGUCGUUAUUAGAAUAUUUUAUAAGAAUAAUAAUUUUCAUAAAAUUUUAUUAAAAUAUAUAUCAGAUCAAGGUGUAGCUUAUGUUUAAGUAGAAAUGGGUUACAAUAAAAUUAUUUAUACGGAAAUAAAUAUGAAAAAUUUAUUGAAGGUGGAUUUGAUAGUAAAAUUAUAAAGAUUAAUAAUUUGAUUUUAGCUCUAAAAUAUGU
rnacentral:rRNA from 1 species